UAACGAUAACUUUUCAUUGUAAGGUCGGAUUUUUUUUAAAAAAAUGUCAAGAAUUUGUAAAUUUUAUAUGCAAGGAUAUUGUCAUCAUGGAAACCAAUGUAAAUUUUUACAUUCAAAAAAUUAUGAUCACCAUCAUGUGGAUGGUGGAUAUCAUAAAGUUUCUUAUAGCUACAAUAAUAUUAAUCAUAAUCAGUCAUACUAUGCGAAUCCUUCACAUAGUCAAGAAUAUUAUCCAAGAGCAUAUCAGAAUAAUAAGCAAAGCCAAUAUAAAUACAUAUCCAAGGAUUAUGAAAUUAGGAAGAAUUUAAAGCCAUCUAAUGAUUUUAAAGAAUUUUUAUACCUGCACAUAAUAAUGCAUCAUUUUGGUAAUAAAGUAAAUCAAAAAUUACAAUUAAAUAUCAGGCAAAAACUAAACAAGGCUGUACUUUUUCAAGG